rnacentral:lncRNA from 1 species
AGGAGUGUGAGUCCACAAAGCAUCUAUUCUAUCCUGUGCCUGGAUUACUGAUGUGGAAAUUGUUCUCUGGGGUGGGAGAUGAAUUCAGGAGUGUGAAUGUCUUCAAAGAGGGAGUGUAAUAUUCAAUCAGCAAUGGGCUCUACUUUUCAAGAUUUUCUUGGGGAAAGGAAGUCCAUUCACCAACCACAGGUACCAUCCCAGGAGUGGUCCUGGAUAUCUCAAGACCUGUGACUGGACAGGGUCACUAGCAGAUGAUUUUUGCUAUUGUUUGUAGCCAUUUCUCUAAAUUAAAUCUGUCACUCGGGAGUAACACAAAACACAUUUGGUGAUAUGUGAGCUUCAGAGCAUCAAACAAAUGGACCAGCUGCUUCUGCAGCUGCAUCUGUGACACAGCCAAGGAUGACCAGUGAUGCCCAGGCAGCGAGCAGGGAGAAAGUCAAGGUGGCCUCUGGUAGCCGCACCCUUCCCUGCCUGUGCACCACCAAUCCUAGCAAGGAAAGUGAGAUUUGGAAGGCCGCUCUGAGAUCUGCUCUCCCUCCGGGCUGCUUGGGUCCAUUCGGCAGGACCAGGUAGCUGCUCCCUCCCCUGCCUGCUCUGCCACCAGCUCCAGCAAGAAAGAUCCUGACUACUGAACACGAAAAAGGCUGUGUCCAGCAAUUGGGUCAUAUGGGUCCGUUGUCCGAUCUGCAAACCUACCAGGAUCUUUUGAAAAUCACCAGCCUCUAGUGGAAACAGGUGGGA